rnacentral:sRNA from 1 species
AACUUCUUGUUCUCGAAAAUGAGAAGUACAUGCUACUUAUAGCCAAAUAUCCCGAAACCCUAAUACUCAAAACGACGAAGUAUUUGGACGGGUUAAGCACUGUACUCGACCAACGUGGUCGAGUGAAUAGCUGGAGUCUUCUUUUCUUCCUUGUGCUCGAGUGUCUGGUUGAGUGCAGAAUGAAGAAGGCUCUGAAGCUUGUCAUCGAGUAUGCAGUCGAGUGGUGUGAUGGAGGUACUCGACCUCUAGGUAGAGUGAGGAGGUCGAGUGGUUGUCUGAUGAUGGAGGUGAAGACACUCGUCCUCAUGGUCGAGUGAAGUGAUCGAGUGACUGUCUGGUGAUGAGAUGAUGGCACUCGACCUCGGGGUCGAGUGGUGGUUGAAUUGGUGAUGUCCUCUACUCGACCUGUUGGUCGAGUGGUCUCUUGAGAUCUUGAAGCUCCUACUCGACCUCUGGGUCGAGUGGUUUGUCAUGAUCAGGUCCGCUCCUUCCAGAUAGCUCGUCAACAGCUCCAAAUCACCUGAAAUCAACGCAAAUAUGCAACAUGCAUGCAAAACUAUCCUAAACAUGCAAAGUGAUGACAAAUGAUGUGAAAUAGUAUAAAACAGUGAUGAUAUGAUGCUAAAAUGAUGACAAAUGGAUGCUCAAAACAUGCAAAAUAUACACUUAUCAACUCCCCCAAACUUAGUCUUUGCUUGCCCUCAAGCAAACAAUCAAGAACAAGCUGGAGGUGACGUUUGAAAGCGGGGACGCAGAGCCAAAGCAUUAGAUAAACCAGAUGAAAUCAAUGUCCAAGUUGAAAGUUCUAAGCUGCAAGACCGAAUUCUACUUAAAAACGUUAGCCAUGCCUCAUUAAUCAAUCAAUCCGACUCAUAUGCUCGACCUACAUAAGUUUUCAAAUCCACCAAUCCCUUUAACAUUCAUUAGUUCUGGAACGUGAAUCAAGCAAUGCAUCAUCAAAGAACUCAUUUGGCUAAGGUAAAAGGUCAAGAGACAAAGAUGGUCCCUUACAGAAUAGGCUUCAGUAACAGGGGAUCUCUCAAAAAAUGAUUAAACUUUAGUAGAAUGCUAAAGGUAAGUCCCAAGCUAUGCAUACAGAGAUAAGAUCCCAUCUACCCAGAGUACAUCAAAUGAAGCUCUAAUGGUAAUCCCAUCUCCAAUCCCAAUACAAGAACUAAACUCUAUCCUUUGUAUUCAUGAAUCUUUUAAACCCUUUUUCUAAUCAUUCUUUUCUUUUCUCUUAACUCUAGGCGAAGCUUCAACACUUUGAUAUAUCUAGCGGAUUUGGAUUUCUUUAACAACUAAGGUUCCUGUUUUUAACAUUUUAAAACCAAGGGCUUUUGCCCAUCUUCAAUAGCUAACAAGAACUCUUUCUUUUCUUUACAAAUCCCAAAACCUUUACUAGACUUUUUCUGCUUCUUUAGCUUACUUCACCUAGAGUCCUUUACCUUUUCUCAUCAAUGAAUCAACCCUUUUUUUUCUUUUUCUUUUAAACACAUCCCAACCCAAAGUAUAAGCACCCACCUAGUCCUAUCCAGUCCGAAAAAUGCGAACUAGAACUACAUGAGACACUAUCUCUGUCGUUACGAACCUAACACUUUCUACCAAGCUUAAUCGGAAUAAGACCUCACAAACACUCACAAGUGAUAUAGGGCUUGAAAGAAAGUCUAGGUUUGGGUUUGGGUUAACUGCUCUAAUAAGGAGAGUCAGCUACUUGGAUUAACAAGAGUGAUCAAAAUGAAUAAGAGAAUCCAAGUAUUUUAGGGUAUCCAUGAGUUCAAAUUUGAUGCAGACAUGAUAAUUAAAGAUCAGAUUCAGGUUCAAAUUGAUAGGGAAUGGUAUCAGAUCAUGACAGUGUGGUCGAGUAGAGCAAUCUAGGCAUGGUUCAGUUUUAUUUCAAAUUCAUUGACUACGCAACAGACAACUAGCAACGAGGGCACUGAGUUUAUCCGGUGAAUCAAAAUGCUUACAAGGCUAUCUCAUCAUCAUCCCCUAUGCAUAUGCAACAAUCCUAAAUGAAACACUCUAGACUCGAUCCUAAAUAAGAUGCAACUACAUGAACACUCUUUUUUUUGUGAAAUCAUUUUCUGAAAUUUUUCAAAUUUUUUCGGUUUUUCUAUGCCUUAGAUGAAUGCAGGCUCAAAAUUAUACACAAUGCAACACACACUUCCUGAGCCCUCCCCCAAACUUAAAUCACACAGUCCACUAUGUGAAUAAACUUGGAAGAGAGUACUCAGGACAAAUCCAAUCACAGAAACAAAAAAUGAAGAAACAAAUCACAACAGACAGUAUAAUACAAUGGUGAAGUGAGGCGCUUACCUCAGUCGAAGAAUGAACGUAGUUGCUCGUCAAUGGCUGCCUGCGAUUGCUCCCAGGCCAUAGACGAACCUCCUUGUUCUGUAUCAGCUCCAGCAGGUGGGUACUCGACCUCAUCAGCUCUGUGGCGGCCAGCACCGCUCUGAGGAAACUCGACCUCUCUCCUUCUGCUGCGGCCAGCAACGCGGUCGAGUGAUCUCCUCGAGUGAAUGAGGCGUGAUCUGCUGCUAGAUCGAGUGAGUGUAGCCUUCCUUCUUCUCUUGUGUUCCCGGGAUUCGAAUGACGAAUGCCUAGCCUGGACAUGUGGGACUCUCUGCUCGCUAAGCUCAGGCCUGUGCGCAGGUGCAUUAAUUCUCCUCGAUGGCAUCUCCAUAGGAGGUUGUACCUGUGGAAUAGCAGUGGUGGAGGAAGAGCAACUCAGCUUGUCUGUCAGAAGCUUGAAACACUUGGCGAUCAGCUUGUCCUGCUUCUUGCACCACUUCUGCAAUUUACUGUUAUUCUUAUGAGCUUCAGUCAAGCUCUUGCUCUGCCUCGCUGGAGGUACAUGUUCAGCAAAGUGAUACAUGCUAGUGUCGAACUUCACUGCUCCAUCUUCAUCCAUCCCAUCCGAAGCAGCUUCUUCAAGAAGAUCGUCCUCAUCUAAUGGUGGAGCGUUCUCAUAGUAGAGGCGUCCAAUCUCAGGCCUAAAAUCAAUGUUAUCUCCCUCGAUUAUCCGUGUGACCUCAGGGCUAGGGAGAAGGAUGUUAGCUCUCCUGUCUGUAGAGUGCUCAAACCUGAACCUGUGGAAAUCGUCAACCAUUGCAAACUCCAGGAAUUCGCAGUGACGUAGGUGCUCGAUAUCCAUUGCUCGCGGCUCGAGUCCAGCAGAAAUGAGUGGGACUCCACAAGCUAUCAGAAUAGGUGUCACCACGCCACCUAUGCACAGAGCGCCUCGUGCUCUCUUGCGGUUAUUGCUGACCGCCCAGUUUUUGUAUCCACACAGAUGGAUCAGAAGAAGUAUAGAGAGAGGUGUGUCAUUGACUUCACCCUGGAGGGACAUGCCAUUUUUAGUUUGGCGAAGAGUUCCUUUGAGGGCCAUUGCGAUCAUCUCCAUAUCAGAGUUAGUGACAGUCCCUGUAAUCUCUCGGGAGUAGAGUACGUUGGCUACAGAACGCUGGAAGUACCUGAUGACAGGGCUGCGUAUCUGAUUGCUCUUUGACCAGGAAGCAUUCAACGGUACAGAGCUGCCAAUGGUGAUCCACAAGUCUUUCAACUCUUCUCUUUCAUACUUUGGCUUAGAUCCCGUUCCACUGGGGAAAUCAAACAAUCCUUCCAAUCGCUUGAUUGAUAACCUGUACUCAUGACCAUACACAGAAAAUCGCAAGAAUCCCAAUCCUUCACAAUCCAACUCAUCAGAGGUCAUACCUUGGUAGAGCUCUACUUGCAGUGUGGAGAGGAAUUGUAUUGUCUCAUCUUCAUAUGCUACAUACGGAUAAGCCAUCAAAGUGUCCAGAUGACAACUUUGGUACAGGUGCUGAACAUCUUCCAACAAUCCGAGUUGUGCAAGUGAGGUCGAGCAAGGAUACCUCGUGCUACAGAACUCAUUCAGCUUGAAAAGCUUAACAUAUUCCUCAGUAGGCAAUAUGUCGGGCUUGUGCAGAAGUUUGGUAGCUCUGCGAGUCUGUUCAGGCAUGUACUCGUCCUCCAGAUCUUCGUCUAUAAGCUCAUACCUCUCUGUCAUCGCUCUCUUUCCUCGGGCUAUCUCAGCUUUCCUUCUGAAACUUUCGUAUUCUCUCUGUUCUCUCUCUGGCCUUGAAGAUGACGAUUCUGUCUCAUCCAUGUUGUAGUCAGGAUCAACAGAAGAACUGCCACUGUAAUUGCUCAUGAUUCUCCUGUAGGGAUUUAGAACUCAAAGCUCAAAUGUCAAUAGGUUAGUCUCAAAGAUAGCAAUGAAACCAAAAUUAUUGUCAAUAGGCAAUGAAACAGAUUGAAUAGGUCGAGUACAAUUCCGUCCUCGAGUAACCUGAGCUGUUCCUGAGCUUAGAUGAAAUGAAUCGAGUAUCUUCUCAGAGGUCGAGUUGGGUGCUUCAGCAGGUCGAGUGAAACGUAGAGAUAGAGUGAAUCGUGAAAGCUAGUGGUCGAGUAGCUUCUCUGAAGUUGGAAGGCUCUACUGAAUUCACGAACAAGAAGCCGAGUAGAUUAUUGCAGGGGUCGAGUGCUUUCAGGAGGUCGAGUGAUUUCUUGAAGUCGGCUAGGACGGCGUCGGUCGAGUGCCUCUACGAGACCAGGAAGCGAGGUUGAGCGGUUUCUUUUGAAAGAGACGGCGGUUGAUGCCGAUGAAUUGGUCGAGUAUACGGAAGGAAUCGAGUGAAGUGGUUUAGUCGGUUGACGGAGUGGAUGGGCUGGUGACGGCGGCGAGGGAGGGGGUCGAGUGAAGUUCUCAGUGGUCGAGUAGCUCUUUGGACGGCGAUAUGUGGUGUAGAGAGAUUAGAGUGUCGGCGGUGAAAUGAAAAGUGGAAGGUCGAGUGGAUUUGGAGUGGUCGAGUAGCGCUUCAAAAUGAGUGGUCUAGGUUGAGUUUUAGAUUCUCUCUCCAGCUUAUCCUCAGCGCGUGGUCCACACACUGUUAAUUGAGAAAAUUUCUUUGCAGAAAACCUACUGUAAACUGUAGGAAAUUUCUGCAAGUCUCUGUAGCUUCUGUUGGUCGAGUAAAAUGAUGAUUUAAAA